CUUCUUAAAAAGAAACGUUGAUUCGGAUGUACUGACACCUGAAUAUCUGCAUGCGCGCCGAAUGUUUACAAAGUCCGUUAGUAUUUUUGGUGUCUCUCGGUGAUACUGUUACACAUUAGAACAACUGAAUAAAAUCUCCUUUCAAUUAACUAUCGAUAUAUCUGGUGUUUUACGUAAGACUGAGUCCCAAUAUUAUUGCACAUUCGGUAGCAAAGAUGUUGACACCACAUUUCGUCUGAUGAUGACUUUUACGGGAUCGAAUAAGGUUUGGUCAUUGUAUUCCCUGAAAGGAAUGAGAGGAGAAAAGAAACUGGAAGACCUGGCUAUCUGCAGGCCAAUGCUGGCUGCAGGUCAAUAUUGAAUGCUCUUAUGAAAACUCAUAAGACAAUAACAAAAAAAAAGAAGCUGAGGAUGCUGUUUUUAAAACAUGCUCCAUUCAAAAAAGGUGGAUUGAAAUUUAAGAAAGGUGUGACAGGUGCGUCUGUUGCAGGCAGGGAGGAUUUGACGGUCAGCCAGAGGAUUUGGAGAUAUACUGUUAUGUCUUUAAAGUGGACUUGCGUGUGAUUUAAGUUUUCACAAGGGUUUUAGUGUGUGUGAAAGUAUGUCAGUUUUCAAAAUUGAACUAUGUCAAUUUGCUCAAACUACAUAACUCAAAGAACUUUGAAGCGGUCUUGUUGACGUCAUGAGCUUUUGUUUAAUACCAGUAUUGGUGAUAUAGGCCCAUGAUUAUAUACUGUAGAAAGUGAACAAGUUCACUGCUCGAUACAGAUAGUCAUAUAGCCUGAUCUCUGAAUGAUAUUUAUGAACCAAAAGAAGGCAUAAAAUAAAAACAUACAGUAGUGAUUUGAAUUAUUGAUAUUGUUAAACUAGAUCUGGGCCAGUAUUCAUAAAGGAUCUUAGUAAAAAAAAUUAUCUAGAACUUAAUAUUCUUUGAACAAUCAAGUCAAAAACUUUUCACGCUCUUUAAAUAUUUCACAGCAUGACUCCAAACUUGUAUAUUAUACCAAAGAAAAAUAGAUUGGCAACUUGAAAGGCGUAUAGAGCAAAUCUCGCCAACAUCACAUGGCAACUGAAUGAGGUCUCCUUUUAGUAAGCAUAUUUGAUCACAAUUGAUCAAGUCAGCAAACGCUUUGAAA
rnacentral:lncRNA from 1 species